rnacentral:rRNA from 1 species
UACGUAGGGUGCAAGCGUUGUCCGGAAUUAUUGGGCGUAAAGAGCUCGUAGGCGGUUUGUCGCGUCGAAUGUGAAAACCCGGGGCUCAACCCCGGGCCUGCAUUCGAUACGGGCAGACUAGAGUUCGGUAGGGGAGUCUGGAAUUCCUGGUGUAGCGGGUGAAAUGCGCAGAUAUCAGGAGGAACACCGGUGGCGAAGGCGGGACUCUGGGCCGAUACUGACGCUGAGGAGCGAAAGCGUGGGGAGCAAACAGG